rnacentral:rRNA from 1 species
AACGAACGCUGGCGGCAUGCCUAACACAUGCAAGUCGAACGAGACCUUCGGGUCUAGUGGCGCACGGGUGCGUAACGCGUGGGAACCUGCCCUUAGGUUCGGAAUAACUCCCCGAAAGGGGUGCUAAUAACGGAUAAUGUCUUCGGACCAAAGAUUUAUCGCCUUUGGAUGGGCCCUCGUUGGAUUAGCUAGUUGGUAGGGUAAAAGCCUACCAAGGCGACGAUCCAUAGCUGGUCUGUGAGGAUGAUCAGCCACACUGGCACUGAGACACGGACCAGACUCCUACGGGAGGGAGCAGUGGGGAAUAUUGGACAAGGGGCGAAAGUGUGAUCCAGCAAUGCCGCGUGAGUGAUGAAGGCCUUAGGGUUGUAAAGCUCUUUUACCCGGGAUGAGAAUGACAGUACUGGGAGAAUAAGCGCCGGCUAACUACGUG